rnacentral:rRNA from 1 species
AUUGAACGCUGGCGGCAGGCCUAACACAUGCAAGUCGAGCGGAGCGGCGGACGGGUGAGUAAUGCCUAGGAAUCUGCCUGGUAGUGGGGGAUAACGUCCGGAAACGGGCGCUAAUACCGCAUACUAUCAGAUGAGCCUAGGUCGGAUUAGCUAGUUGGUGGGGUAAAGGCCUACCAAGGCGACGAUCCGUAACUGGUCUGAGAGGAUGAUCAGUCACACUGGAAAUGAGACAAGGGCCAGAAUCCUAAGGGAGGCAGCAGUGGGGAAUAUUGGACAAUGGGGGAAAGCCUGAUCCAGGAACGCCGCGUGAGUGAUGACGGCCUUUGGGUUGUAAAGCUCUGUUAAUCGGGACGCGGUACCGGAAUAGAAAGCCACGGCUAACUACGUGCCAGCAGCCGCGGUAAUAC